rnacentral:rRNA from 1 species
ACAGGGAUUGCCCUAGUAACGGCGAGUGAAGCGGCAACAGCUCAAAUUUGAAAUCUGGCGUCUUUGGCGUCCGAGUUGUAAUUUGCAGAGGGCGCUUUGGUAUUGGCAGCGGUCCAAGUUCCUUGGAACAGGACGUCACAGAGGGUGAGAAUCCCGUACGUGGUCGCUAGCCUUUACCGUGUAAAGCCCCUUCGACGAGUCGAGUUGUUUGGGAAUGCAGCUCUAAAUGGGAGGUAAAUUUCUUCUAAAGCUAAAUACUGGCCAGAGACCGAUAGCGCACAAGUAGAGUGAUCGAAAGAUGAAAAGCACUUUGGAAAGAGAGUUAAAAAGCACGUGAAAUUGUUGAAAGGGAAGCGCUUGCAGCCAGACUUGCCUGUAGUUGCUCAUCCGGGUUUUUACCCGGUGCACUCUUCUAUAGGCAGGCCAGCAUCAGUUUGGGCGGUUGGAUAAAGGUCUCUGUCAUGUACCUCCCUUCGGGGAGAACUUAUAGGGGAGACGACAUGCAACCAGCCCGGACUGAGGUCCGCGCAUCUGCUAGGAUGCUGGCGUAAUGGCUGUAAGCGGCCCGUCUUGAAACACGGACCAAGGAGUCUAACAUCUAUGCGAGUGUUUGGGUGUCAAGCCCGAACGCGUAAUGAAAGUGAACGGAGGUGGGAACCUUUCGGGGUGCACCAUCGACCGAUCCUGAUGUCUUCGGAUGGAUUUGAGUAAGAGCAUAGCUGUUGGGACCCGAAAGAUGGUGAACUAUGCUUGAAUAGGGUGAAGCCAGAGGAAACUCUGGUGGAGGCUCGCAGCGGUUCUGACGUGCAAAUCGAUCGUCAAAUUUGGGCAUAGGGGCGAAAGACUAAUCGA